UAUACAAAAUCUGUAUUUUUUCUCGAGUAGGUACUUAUUAUUGCACAGGUUCGACACCAGUCAAUUUUUUAUAAUGUCCAGUCCAACCGCGUUUAACUUUAUUCCUUCUGCUUGUAAAGAACCCACAGUUGAAAGAUGCUCCUCCAUCUUUAUCCGACUAAAGGACCCACAGUUGAAAGGUCUUGAAGACUGAUCACCCCACCAAUUGCACGGACUUCUUAGUAGCUUCCAUGAUUUUGUAUUGUAGCAGAGUGGAAGGAAGGAAAAUGCCAGCAGAAAUUAGUCAGCAGAAGGGGCAAAACAUUUUGCAGUAGUUUUAUUUCUUCGUUAAAAGAAAUCAAGAACGUCCAGUCCAACCGCGUUUUAACUUUAUUCCUUCCCCUCGUAAAGAACCCACAGUUGAAAGAUGCUCCUUUAUCUUUAUCCCACCAAAGGACCCACAGUUGAAAGAAGGUCCCGAAGGCAUGUGCAACACAGUCUUCUUAAUAGCUUCCAUGAUUUUGUAAGGCAGCUUCGUCUUUCACUAUCUUCUCGUCUUCAAUUUCCGUCAUAUUUCUUGCUUUAGUUUCUUCUAAUUGGUUAAUUCUUCCUUUUUCUGUUUGACGCGGUUUGUCUUUGUGAUAAAUACUGCACCAUAUAGCAUCGAAGUUCAUCAGCUUAUGAAUCCAUAGCCUCCUCUUCCUUCUUCCUUUCAAGAUACUACAAGUGGGCUGUCCUAUAAACCAGAAGCCGCCUUCCCCAACGUUCUUAAGUUAGAAAGAAAGACUGAAAAUGGCAGAAACAGUUCUCUCUUUUGUGCUGGAUCAACUCUCAACUUUUCUGCGCGAGGAGGGACGACUAUUGGGAGGGCUUCGGCAAGAGGUUCAAUUCAUCAUGGAUGAGUUGGAGCAAAUGAGAGCUUUCCUGCGAGAGGCAGAAGCAAAGAAGAAGAUGCUCAACCCACGCUCCAACAAUGGAUCAAGCAAGUGCGAGAUGCUGCUUAUGACACUGAGGACAUUCUCGAUGAAUUUGUAGCUCGCUUUGCUCGGCAUCGCGCAACAGGAUUCUACGGCUCUGUUCGGAGAAUUUUCAGCUCCAUCAAGAAUUUGAGAGCUCGUCAUCGAGUUGCUAGCGAAAUACAAAGCAUCAAGUCCCGAAUCAAAAGUAUUUCUGAAGCUCAUCAAAGAUACCAAUCCGAAUAUGGUAUCUCUGCCCCAGCGUCCAACUCACUUUCGGCUGUGAACACCACAACCUGGCGCUAUAGCAGAGAUGACGCACUGCUUGUGGAAGAAGCUAAAUUGGUUGGCAUUGACCAGCCCAAGAAACGUCUUAUUUCUGAGCUCCUCGAAGAGGAUGAUCACCAACUGAAAGUUGUUUCAGUGGUUGGUAUGGGAGGACUCGGCAAAACUACCCUAGUGAAAAAAGUCCACGAGGAUCCUGAAGUCAGAAGGCAUUUCCCAGUUCGUGCUUGGGUAACUGUCUCUCAAACAUGUGACUUUCAGUACCUCCUGAAAGACUUGAUUCGGCAGUUACACGAGGAAGGGAAGAAACCAGUCCCACAAUCGAUAGAGUCUAUGACCGCCACUGGGCUGAAAAAAAUUGUCAAAGAUUUUCUUCAACAAGCUGGAAGGUAUGCAAUUGUUUUUGAUGACGUAUGGGACGUGGAAUUUUGGAAUACCAUCAAAUUUGCACUGCCCGAGAGUAGCCACGGCAACCGUGUCAUGCUAACAACUCGGAAAGCUGAUGUAGCCUCUGCCUCUUGUACAGAAUCUCUAGGUUAUCUCCACAGAAUGGAGUCACUGUCCUUUGAAGAUUCGUGGACCCUGUUUUGUAACAAGAUCUUUAAGGGAAAUAGUUGCCCUGGCCAUUUGAUGGAUGUUGCAAAGGUGUAUUGGAUAAAUGUGAGGGCUUGCCCCUUGCGAUUCUUGCAAUCAGUGGGCUUUUGGCUUUGAAAGAUGUAAACAGAACAGAGGAAUGGGAGACGGUUCGACGCAGUCUUGGAGGUGAAUUAGAAGGCACUGGUAAGCUGGACAGAGUUAAAAAGAUUCUCUCUCUUAGUUAUAAUGAUUUGCCUUGGCAUCUAAAGGCAUGCUUGUUGUAUUUAAGCAUCUACCCAGAGGAUUAUAAAAUAGGAUGCGGAAGACUCAUUAAUUUGUGGAUUGCUGAAAGGUUUGUAGAAUGGAGAGAAGGAAUGAGUAUUGAAGAUGUAGCUUGGGGUUAUCUCAGUGAACUCGUCAGUAGAAACCUAAUUCAAGUGACCUGUGUGUUUUACGAAGGAAUACCCUACACUUGUCGAAUCCAUGACCUAUUGAGAGCAGUUAUUCUUCUCAAGUCAAGGGAACAAAACUUGGUCACAGUCAUUGAUGGACAACCAACGAUGUGGCCGUCCGACAAGGUACGCCGUCUAGUACUCCGUAGUAGUAGCAGUAACAACACCAGCACCACCAACAAAGACGAAGUUAUUGCUUUGACCACCUUCGGUCAUUCUUUACAAUUGGAUCCCCGAACCCACUCCUGUCUAGAAUGUUGUUAUCUGAAAUUUCAAGAGUAGUAAGCUGUUAAAGGUUUGGAACUGGAUAGUCAAGUGGAAAUACCAAAUGAGAUUUUCAACUUGUUUCAGCUCAAGCAUCUGGACCUAUCCUGUACGAGAGUGGAGAGAAUCCCGAAAGCAUUGGAAAGCUUCAACAUUUGGAGUAUCUGGAUUUGGGUAACACCAGAGUUAGGGAAUUACCCUUGGAAAUCCUAAAGCUGCAACAGCUUCGAGUUCUCAGAGUAUAUCAACAAGUUGAUACUUCAGAUGAUGAUUAUGGAUAUCAUGGAUUUAAAGCUCCCUCGAAUAUGGGAGGCUUCUUGCCCUAGAAGUAUUAAACUGCAUAGAUGCAAGUAGUGGAUCUACAAUAGUUAAGGAGAUAGGAAAGCUGACCCAAUUAAGAGAGCUAUAUAUUACAAAGUUAAGAAGCGAAGAUGGAAAGGAGCUCUGCUCCUCCCUUGCCAACCUCACCAGUCUUCGGGAAUUAAGUGUUGAUUCAAUUGGAAAAGGUGAUGAUUUUGAGAUAAUCGAUUUAAAUCAUCCUUCUCUUUCUUCUUCUUCUUUGUUUCUUCAAUCUCUUCGUACGCUGUUUAUGUGUGGCCGCUUAGAAAAGAUGCCACAAUGGGUAGCUCGUCUUCACGGCUUGGUAAGAUAGAUUUGGACUGGAGCAGGUUAAGGGUGAGGAGGAUCCGCUUGAAUCCCUCCAACAUUUGCCCAAUUUGGUGAAAUUAAUUUCUGUGGAUCUUACCAGGGAGAAGGAUUGUGCUUCAAAGCUGGAGGGUUCCUAAAGCUGAAGGAGUUGCACUUAAAGAGAAUGGAAGGGUUGAGAUGGAUGAGAGUGGAGGAGGGUGCAUUGCCUCGUCUCCAAAAACUAUUUCUGGAACAACUUCCAUUACUAGAGGAGUUACCUGUGGGUAUUCAGCACUUGAGCCAACUUCAAGAGCUAACUUUGUAUGAGAUGAGUUCUCAAUUGAGAGGGAAGCUGUUGGAGAAUCAGAAGGAAGAAAGUGAAGAUUACAGAAGAAUCGCACACAUUCCUGAAAUUCUCAUUGGUUACUACACAGAUGAUAGGAAAUGGAGAGACCGCUGGCUGUGGGCGGAGAAGAAGAAAACAUAUAAUCUUUCCUAACAAGCAGCAGCAGCAGCAAUAGCAACCGUGGCUUCCCUUUCUCUGGUUGUGGAAUGUAGACGACAUUGCAUCUUUUUCUUUUUUUUUUUUGUAUUUUACCUUAUUUAUUGUAUACUACAUUGUGUAUAUUGUGUGAUGUUGUUAACGACUUGAUGUACUGUAUUUUACUCUCUUAUUUUUUUUUUUUUUGUUUCUUGAUCUUUUCUAUAAUUGAUUUCGCAAACGAUCAAGAAGUAGGCAGGUUAGAAAUGUAUUGGCAAUAUGCAAACCCAAUUUGGUUUAUCCUUA